CAGUCGUACCGAUGAUAAAUCAGCUCCUCGAGUGCGAACUUGCGGGCGUGCGUGAGCUUUAAAACCUCGCUGUUUGCAACGUUUGUACUUUUUGGGUGUACUUUUUCGUAUGGUAGGCCAACGUCAGUUUCGAUUACCAUAAAAUGACCGGAGGAAUGUAGCUUCGAUCUCGUAUUGAAGUGUUAUAGCCCCUGGUAGAUGUGGUGACUGAAACUGAGGAUUGCAACGAAUACCCUUUGGGCUAUCCGUCUGAUCUCUGAAAGUUGCUUAGGUGCCGAAAGCAUGCUUACGGUUAUUUAAGUUGACGGUCAAUAGGUUAGAACGUGAUUACA
rnacentral:rRNA from 1 species